AGGGAGGCAGUGAUGUUGAAAAACUACCUAUUUUCUGAAGGAAGAUCUUCCAUUUGAUUAGAAAAUAACCAAUGGAUCCUUCUGAGCCUCUU